rnacentral:ncRNA from 1 species
UUAGGUGCCGUAAUAGGGCUUAAUAGGGAAGUUGGUGCAAGGCCAACACUGUCCCCGCAACUGUAUAUGAGGACGAAAUGAGCUGUCACUGUCUAAGAUUAGGUGCAAGCCAUUUAGAUGGGAAGACCUCAGAGUAGGAAGAUCCAUAAGCCAGGAGACCUGCCUAACC